rnacentral:rRNA from 1 species
GACAUAGGGUGCAAACGUUGUUCGGAAUUACUGGGCGUAAAGGGCUCGUAGGUGGCCAACUAAGUCAGACGUGAAAUCCCUCGGCUUAACCGGGGAACUGCGUCUGAUACUGGAUGGCUUGAGUUUGGGAGAGGGACGCGGAAUUCCAGGUGUAGCGGUGAAAUGCGUAGAUAUCUGGAGGAACACCGGUGGCGAAGGCGGCGUCCUGGACCAACACUGACACUGAUGAGCGAAAGCCAGGGGAGCAAACGGG